CCCUGUAUAUAGUAUGGUAUUAACUGACCCUGUAUAUAGUAUUAACUGACCCUGUAUAUAGUAUGGUAUUAACUGACCCUGUAUAUAGUAUGGUAUUAACUGACCCUGUAUAUAGUAUGGUAUUAACUGACCCUGUAUAUAGUAUGGUAUUAACUGACCCUGUAUAUAGUAUUAACUGACCCUGUAUAUAGUAUGGUAUUAACUGACCCUGUAUAUAGUAUGGUAUUAACGGACCCUGUAUAUAGUAUGGUAUUAACGGACCCUGUUUAUAGUAUGGUAUUAACUGACCCUGUAUAUAGUAUGGUACUAACUGACCCUGUAUAUAGUAUGGUAUUAACUGACCCUGUAUAUAGUAUGGUACUAACUGACCCUGUAUAUAGUAUGGUAUUAACUGACCCUGUAUAUAGUAUGGUACUAACUGACCCUGUAUAUAGUGU
ensembl:lncRNA